AUGAAGCUCACACAGCUAUUUGCCACCAAUUUAUCAAACAAUAGUGUACAUGAACCUGCAAUACUUACAUACAGUAGAUCAGUAGUGCUACUUUUUUUUAGAUCAACCGUGCAACAUUUAGUUAGUAUAUGUAUGAAGCGCAAAUAUAUUACAGAUGAGGCUAACUACAUCCAGAGGCCCAGACAGUUAGUAUAUUCUUACCACAGAUACUUCAAUUGGAGUGGUUUUCGAUAUGAAACUGUAUUGCCAUGUCCGCCAACAUAUUCUUUCAUAAAGUAUCAAUCAAAACUGAAAAUUUGUGUUUUGCAAGUGCCACUUUCAAUGUUCAGGUUCAAUUCAUCAUACAAUUAUGGAAUAUUAACUCUGAAAUAA
rnacentral:rRNA from 1 species